AGGGAAACCGAGUCUUAACUGGGCGUUAAGUUGCAGGGUAUAGACCCGAAACCCGGUGAUCUAGCCAUGGGCAGGUUGAAGGUUGGGUAACACUAACUGGAGGACCGAACCGACUAAUGUUGAAAAAUUAGCGGAUGACUUGUGGCUGGGGGUGAAAGGCCAAUCAAACCGGGAGAUAGCUGGUUCUCCCCGAAAGCUAUUUAGGUAGCGCCUCGUGAACUCAUCUUCGGGGGUAGAGCACUGUUUCGGCUAGGGGGUCAUCCCGACUUACCAACCCGAUGCAAACUGCGAAUACCGAAGAAUGUUAUCACGGGAGACACACGGCGGGUGCUAACGUCCGUCGUGAAGAGGGAAACAACCCAGACCGCCAGCUAAGGUCCCAAAGUCACAGUUAAGUGGGAAACGAUGUGGGAAGGCUCAGACAGCCAGGAUGUUGGCUUAGAAGCAGCCAUCAUUUAAAGAAAGCGUAAUAGCUCACUGGUCGAGUCGGCCUGCGCGGAAGAUGUAACGGGGCUAAACUGUGCACCGAAGCUGCGGCAGCGACGCUUAUGCGUUGUUGGGUAGGGGAGCGUUCUGUAAGCCUGCGAAGGUGUCCUGUGAGGGAUGCUGGAGGUAUCAGAAGUGCGAAUGCUGACAUAAGUAACGAUAAUGCGGGUGAAAAGCCCGCUCGCCGGAAGACCAAGGGUUCCUGUCCAACGUUAAUCGGGGCAGGGUGAGUCGACCCCUAAGGCGAGGCCGAAAGGCGUAGUCGAUGGGAAACGGGUUAAUAUUCCCGUACUUGGUGUU
rnacentral:rRNA from 1 species